CCUGAGACGUCCCUAAAGAAAUGGGUACAUCUUUAAUUCCACAACAGGCUGAUGAACACUCGAGCAGCGCUGUGCAGCUGCCUCGUGCAGCUGCUCAGAGAUGCAGCUUGUGAGAGAUCCAACAGAACCGGCCGAAAGAAACAACAAACCCCGAAAUCAGAGCAGGUGAAGGAGAAAAUGGCCGCCACAAAGAGGUACAUGUGCAUUCAAGAGCUCAGUGACUGUGACAAAAUGACAUUUUCUCAUCAAGCAGAGCGUUGUGUGGAUUGCUGGACGGGCCAGAGACGUGAUUGUCUUAUUGGAUAAUAAAACGAUGGCAAAGAGCAGGGACUCGAAGCGACUACAAAGCAAACAAAGAGGCAUUAAAAAACGGUAACAAGGAGACUCUAAGUCACAUAUAGAGAUAUAGAACAAACGCAAAGAGACAGGAAUACACCAAAGACGAGCGGAGUAUAUGACUCAUAGACAUGUAUUCCCACCACAAAUUCUCUCAUUUUAUUCACAAGCCCUCAAACAGAAGGCUACUCAUGAGGUAUCAAUAAGAACAUUUCAAUAAAACAUUUACAACAUGGAGGCCAGAAGGCAAAGGGAGCCUUAAAAACCUUUCCUCAUGUAAUUCAAUAGCUUGUUAGUUGGCAACAAAGGGCCGAGUCCUUCGCCUUCUCCUGAUUUUAAAUGAGCGAAUAUCAGCC
ensembl:lncRNA